AGCUCCAACAGCGUAUAUUGAAGUUGUUGCAGUUGAAAAGCUCGUAGUUGAAUUUCUGCCAAGGACGACGGGUCCGCCCUCUGGGUGAGUACCACGUUCGGCCUGGGCAUCUUCUUGGGAAGCGUGGCUGUACUUCAUUGUGCGGCGCGAGGCCCAGGACUUUUACCUUGAGGAAAUUAGAGUGUUUCAAGCAGGCUCACGCCUUGAAUACAUUAGCAUGGAAUAAUAUCAUAAGGCUCUUGCUUUAUUUUGUUGGUUUCUAGAGCUGGAGUAAUGAUUAAUAGGGAUAGUUGGGGGCAUUCGUAUUUAACUGUCAGAGGUGAAAUUCUUGGAUUUGUUAAGGACGGACUACUGCGAAAGCAUUUGCCAAGAAUGUUUUCAUUG
rnacentral:rRNA from 1 species